rnacentral:misc_RNA from 1 species
GAUGAAGAACGUAGCGAAAUGCGAUACUUGGUGUGAAUUGCAGAAUCCCGUGAACCAUCGAGUCUUUGAACGCAAGUUGCGCCCGAAGCCAUUAGGCCGAGGGCACGCCUGCCUGGGUGUCACACGUCGUUGCCCCCCCAUCUACUCCUUCGGGAUUGCGGGGGGCGGAUGAUGGCCUCUCGUGCGCCUCGUCGCGCGGUUGGCCUAAAUGCCAAGUCCUCGGCGACGCACGCCACGACAAUCGGUGGUUGCGAAACCUCGGUUGCCUGUCGUGUGCGGUCGUCGCGCAUCGAGGGCUCGAAAAAAUUGCCGGGCUUCGGCUCGACUUUCAACGCGACCCCAGGUCAGGCGGGGUUACCCGCUGAAUUUAAGCAUAUAAUAAGCGGAGGA